rnacentral:rRNA from 1 species
UACGAGAGGAACGAGCAUUAUUCGGAAUAAUUAGGCGUAAAGGGUUUGUAGAUUGUUUUUUAAGUUGAAAAAGAAAAAUUAAAGCUUAACUUUAUUAAUUUUUUCAAAACUAAAAAACUAGAGUAUAAUAUAAAGGAUAAUAGAAUUUUUAUUGGAAGGGAUGAAAUCCGUUGAGAAUAAAAGGAAUUUCAACAGCGAAGGCAAUUAUCUAGGUAUAUACUGACAUUGAGGAACGAAAGCGUGGGGAGCAAAUGGG